CAAGUCGAACGCGAAAGUCCCCUUCGGGGGACAAGUAGAGUGGCGUCCGGGUGAGUAACACGUAGGUAAUCUACCUUCGGGUGGGGAAUAACGCAGGGAAACUGNCNCUAAUACCGCAUAAUGCAGCGGCACCACAUGGUGACAGUUGUUAAAGCGGGGGAUUUUCGAACCUCGCGCCUGAAGAGGAGCCUGCGGCAGAUUAGCUAGUUGGUAAGGUAACGGCUUACCAAGGCGACGAUCUGUAGCCGGCCUGAGAGGGCGGUCGGCCACACUGACACUGACAUACGGGUCAGACUCCUACGGGAGGCAGCAGUCGGGAAUUUUGGGCAAUGGGCGAAAGCCUGACCCANCAACGCCGCGUGAAGGAUGAAAUCCCUCGGGAUGUAAACUUCGCAAGAAUGGGAAGAAUUAGCGAGUACUAAUAUUGCUCGUGAUGACGGUACCAUUUGUAAGCUCCGGCUAACUCCGUGCCAGCAGCCGCGGUAAUACGGGGGGAGCAAGCGUUGUUCGGAUUUACUGGGCGUAAAGGGCGCGUAGGCGGCCAGCGCAAGUCAGUUGUGAAAUCUCCGAGCUUAACUCGGAAAGGUCAACUGAUACUGCGCGGCUAGAGUGCAGAAGGGGCAACUGGAAUUCUCGGUGUAGCGGUGAAAUGCGUAAAUAUCGAGAGGAACACCUGCGGCGAAGGCGGGUUGCUGGGCUGACACUUGACGCUGAUGCGCGAAAGCCAGGGGAGCGAACGGGAUUAGAUACCCCCGGUAGUCCUGGGCCUUAAACGAUGGAUGCCUUGGUGUCUGGA
rnacentral:rRNA from 1 species